UGCAGAAUCCCGUGAAUCAUCGAGUCUUUGAACGCAAGUUGCGCCUGAGGCCAUUUGGCCGAGGGCACAUCUGCCUGGGCGUCACGC
rnacentral:rRNA from 1 species